GUAGGUGGCAAGCGUUGUCCGGAAUUAUUGGGCGUAAAGCGCGCGCAGGCGGUCCUUUAAGUCUGAUGUGAAAGCCCACGGCUCAACCGUGGAGGGUCAUUGGAAACUGGGGGACUUGAGUACAGAAGAGGAAAGCGGAAUUCCAAGUGUAGCGGUGAAAUGCGUAGAGAUUUGGAGGAACACCAGUGGCGAAGGCGGCUUUCUGGUCUGUAACUGACGCUGAGGCGCGAAAGCGUGGGGAGCAAACAGGAUUAGAUACCCUGGUAGUCCACGCCGUAAACGAUGAGUGCUAAGUGUUAGGGGGUUUCCCGCCCCCCUUAGUGCUGCAGCUAACGCAUUAAGCACUCCGCCUGGGGAGUACGGCCGCAAGGCUGA
rnacentral:rRNA from 1 species